AUGGUGGUAUGAAGCAUUUGCCCUCUUACCCCUGCAAGGCACUAUCAAAAAGAAGCUAUUCAGUCUGGGGGGAAGGUAUGAAGGCUCGUGGACCUGGGGCCCUUUGGAUGAGAUUCAGUGUGUAGAUGAAGAUGUGACUUCACACAUUGGUGCCUGCAUUGGAGAUAUUUUGACCUUGGAAUCUGGACUGAAAUUCCAAUUCAUUUUGCAGAUGAACUAUAAAUUCUCAAUUUCUAAGAAUGAUAGAUGGAAACAAUGGUUCUCAUGUUCAGUGCAGGACAUGAGGCUCAGAGGAAGGGCUGCAUGAACAUUUUUUGAAUUAUUCAUUGUUUUAGCAUUAUUUUUUGCAUUUAUUCUGAAAUUCAAGACAAAUCAUCUCAUUUAUAAUGGAUGCCAUCUUUAAAAAUUUUAGGAUUUCUGAUGUAAAUAUUGGUAAGGUAUUAAAUCCUGCACUCUCUUUGUUGCCUUGGAAAAUGUUAUCUGGUAUUUUCAAGCUUUAGAAGACAAUUAAGUUAGUUCCACUUCCUUUUUCUUGGUGUAAGAAAUUUUAUCAGACCUCACUGUACCCACGUGGGGAUUUGAUUCACCUUGUUUGUGGUUUAACAGGUAUACAACACUGAAUCCAGUAUUACCAAAUUGGUUUCCAAAAAAAGGAAAAAAAUACUAUGUGCUCUGUAACAAGAAGUAUGGCUAUAUAGAUUAAACUGCAUUAACACAUACAAUACUAGAAUUAAUGCUCUCUGACUAAUUUGCCCAUGUUAGUGAGCAAUGUCUUUUUUUUUUUUUAAAUGUAAUGAUAUCCGGUUUCAGGAUAUAUGAUUACAAAUUCACAAAUUGUUUUUUGUGGUCUUAUCUCUACCUCUGAUCUUUGAGGGAUUACAGCAAUCUGGUGCUAAAUUUUUAUAUUGCAGUGAGAGCAAUUCUUUUAAAUUUAUGGAUGAUUUCCAUUUAAUCACUUCUGUCCUAAAUUGGAAACCACCUGAACUACUGUUAAAAAAUCACAGUAACAAAUUUUACUUGACUUCUUCACCAUCAUCAUUCAAUACAGACUCUUAAAUAAACAUUUUUAGUAUCUUUUUGUUCUGCA
rnacentral:lncRNA from 1 species